rnacentral:lncRNA from 1 species
GACCGCGACAGCAAAAAAAACAAACCCGCGGAACCCAGACAACGAGCGCAAAUGCUAACUUUCAUGUCACAUCCAGAAACCACGUGUUCAUCGGGCCACCUGCGGGCUUGCGGCUCAGCGGGGAGGUGCAGGGUUGUUGUGUUUAGAAACCAAGCUAGGGGCACAGCUGCGGGCGCCACCUCCCUCCGUCCUCCCAGACACGGCCCUUGAGGCCGCCUGGACGUCGGCGAGGGGAUGGGCACCCAUGCCUCUGGCUUUUAAGUCGCCUGGGAGUCAGUGGAGCGGAGGGGGAGGGUCCUGUCACUGCGGGCACCACCUUGGGCACCUCUCCGUGCUCAGCGGGGUCUGGCAAAGGCCUGAGGUCACCUGGCCAGUGAGUGGCAGACUUAGAACUCACGCCAGGACCCCUGACUCCCCCAGACACACUCUCUUCCCACUACCCCCGGCUGACCGGCCACCAUCCUGCUCAGGCAAACCGACUACCUAUGGGCUUGGGGAGGGCUCCAGAUCCCUCCUACCCUUUGAGACAGCGAUGCUGAGAAGUGUUAUUUUUAUUCGUCCCCAAGCCUUGCCAGAUUACAUUGUCAAGGCCAGCACUUUGGAGAUAUUCCCUUGGUUUCGCAAUUCACGCAGUGACUAACACAUGUUACAUUUUGAAAACCUCUCUUGGUAAAAAUUUAAGCUGACUUGUAAAUACAUAAAAGUCUCGAUGUUAAUGGGGUGCAUGAUUUCUCGGUGGCUGUUUUGUAAUCCCAAGAUUCCAAAGGGAUGUGGAAUUCUAUAAAAAUGGAGAACGAGAACCCUCCCAGAGCCGCCCUUUGGAACCAUCACUACGGGCAGCGGAACAGCCCUUACAUCUGUCCGUCGUUACAGAAGUUACAAAAUCACUUCCCGUUUCCUGCCCCUGGCAGGGCAGGACACUUCCGGGGGGUGGUCCGAGCAGGGAGAGCAGAGAAGCCCGGAGCGGAGGAUCGGGGUCCCUCCGCGGGGCAGGAGCGCACGCAGGCUCUGAAACCAUCCAUAGGGCAGUUGGACGCGCUGUCUACACAUGGCUCUCCCGAGUGGCAUCUUCCAAGAGCCCUUUGCCGCUCCGGGCCCCUCCCCCGCCGCCUCCCACCCCUGCGAACAGGCCUGUUUCUGAGAGCACUGAAGACGGGAAACACGCGAUCUCGAAUGUGUCUCUUGCACGGUCACACAUUUUUUUCGUUGUGCGUCUUGGCUGAUCCAUGAUUUAAGAUCCCCAGCAACUGUUUCCAG